rnacentral:lncRNA from 1 species
CUCCCAGCCGCUGCUCAUGAACCUCGCCUCCAUCAGCUCCACUUCACCGGAGCCGCCAGUCCGCAUGAGUAGGGGCAGCGUAUCCCCCUACAGCGGCCAAAUCCCGGUGCACCCAGCCGCUGCUCUUGAACCCCGCCUCCAUCAGCUCCACUUCACUGGAGCCGUCAGUCCUCAGGAGUAGGAGUAGCAGGUUCACCCGACGUCCGACGCCUUCUUCCAUCUCCAAAAAUCUUGUUUUUUGAGUUCUGUUCUUCAUCACAUGUUUCACUAGCUGAAAUUGCAUGGUGUUCUGAAAUUGCUUGCGGACCACUAGCUGAAAUUGCUUGACGAACAGAGCAAAGGUUGUAUCUUCGUCUACUGUUUUUCAGAUAUUCGUCAUAUGCAUGAGCACGCCUAUAUUUGCUUGUUAUGAUCUAGUGGGCACCAUUAACAUUUGCUAUUCCUUCUGCAGGGCCCAAACCCACUAUCGUGCAAGAAAAAUAAAUCAAAGGCCCCACCAUCAGCUGCUCAAAUCAUCAGGUAAUUAAUCAGCACUAAACAUACGUGUCUAAUCCAAUGUUGCGAAAGCAAGCUUGGAGUUGCCUGACUUAUCUUGAGGUGUAGAACUGAUAGUAAGACGGAGAAGAGAUAAUGCAACAAAAAUGUUAGAUAGGCAGGGGAAGUACAUUGUGCAUUGUGAUUUGUUGUAGCUCCUGACAUCACGGUUUAUGUGUGCUGUAGGAUUGAUUUUUGUUUGGUUGUAAUAGUAAUAUCCUAAUUCUGUUCAUGGAGGACGCUUGAGUGGGUUGUCUAUUUGAUGAUUUUAGUUACUGCUCAACACCUCAUUCCAUUAGUAUAGCGAGAACUACACAAGAUAAAUAAGAUGGGAGAGGAUAAAUAUCAUUGUGUGGUUCUUUUGCCCUUAUAUUGGAUACAACUUUUAUUUGAUUUUCAGUUCACCUUUUGCGUUCUUUUCAGUUCAUAAACCUUAAUGUAUUGAUGAAAUCCUGAACUAUUAUAUGUGCACCCUACAUAUUUGUUCUUAUGCCUAUGAAGAAUUCUACACUUGUGCUUCUAUGCAUCAGUUUAGGUCACCAAACAAGCUGAUUCUUUCUUUAAUGGGCUUUAUAUGUACUUCGAGAUGAGCCAUCAGCUUCUCCUGCUCCUCCUCCUGGUAUACACGAACUCCAGUUCGUCGAGAGGCUCCCUGGAGAUUCAAAACAUUUCACUUCACCAUUUUAUGUUUUUUUAGUUCAUCUUAUAAAAAGCAGAAAAAACUAUCUGUCACAAGUUCAGAUAUACAUGCUGCACAAGUUCAAAAAUGGGAAGAAACAAAGCUCAAACCAAGUUUAAAUAUUGUUGCCUUAAUAAAUUAGUUGGUCUGGGUUAAUUCGUUGUUAUGGACAGUACAAAUGCAUAUUGUUGUGUAGUAGUGAUUGUAAUUGUGAUUUGGAGUUCACAAAAAGAUAACAAAGGGUACAUAAAAGAACCCAAAACAUUCAGUAGUCGAACUAUGUUGCUUCUGUGAUUUUCCUUAUGCAGAAAAUCGAACGUUUAAACUAUGUUUCACCUUUGAACUUAAACGUGUUUGUUCUUUGAGCUAAAAUUCCUAGAGCUUUAGUCCAACUUUUGGUGAUUCUUGUACCUAUUGUUCAGGAAUCAAUGGUGAAAAAUUCUGAUUGCAGCAAUGGCAUGCUCCAAGCCCGCCGAGACUGAAUCAUUCGACAUCAAUUCUCUGCACAGCGUGGCUCGACGUGCAGCCCGCCGGCUCCUUCGUGUACGUCCAGACAAGAUGCUAUGGUGUACAAUUUAAUUCAUGAAGUAAGCCCAUCAAUUCAGUUUCAUUUUCUAAAUUUCUUUUGAACUUGUUUUAACUUUUACAUGUAUCUAGUUACGGUAGUACUAGCCAGAUCAAGCUACUUCAUUUUUUAUGAAAUUCUAGAACUCUUACAUAUCCGUAUUGUUGCUGCUCCACUCGUAUUUGCUAUUUCUUCUUAUGUGUGCACUAAAUUUCUAACACUAUUCAUGAUCAGCUUCUAGUUUUUGCUCUAUUAUGUGAUUCACUUCUACAAAAAAGGUUGGGUUAUAUAAAUAGGACAAAGAUGUUUGCUUGCUUUCCAGCAAUGAAAUGGUUGGAAAUGUAUCGAUGAUGUAAAUACAGCUCUUGUCUUGUGUUGUUUGAAAAUAAAAUCACACAAGUACGUGGUGGAAGUUUGUAUCAGUUCGGAGAAAAAAAGAAACAAAGUUCAAAAAGAAAAAUCGUGAGUUCACCUUCCAUAAAGUUUAUAAGUGCAGAGAUAGCACCUUGAUGUAGUAUGUAAAUAUGUUUUGCAAAUUUGCAAUUCAGGAAUGUGUGUAUGUGUUGUAGUCUCUGGCUACAGAGUCGAUAUGUGUUUUUGUAGUGCUGGCAGUUGUAGUCUCCCGCGCUCUUUGCCGUCGUCAAGGGCGCAUGUGUGACGUCCUUAGUCCAACCCCAUGGCAUCAGUGUGACGCUCCCGAUUCAAUCGUACACUAAUCAUGCACGCAAAUGUGUACGAUCAAGAUCAGGGACUCACGGGAAGAUAUCACAACACAACUCUACAAAUAAAAUAAGUCAUACAAGCAUCAUAAUACAAGCCAGGGGCCUCGAGGACUCGAAUACAAGUGCUCGAUCAUAGAAGAGUCAGCGGAAGCAACAAUAUCUGAGUACAGACAUAAGUUAAACAAGUUUGCCUUAAGAAGGCUAGCACAAACUGGGAUACAGAUCGAAAGAGGCGCAGGCCUCCUGCCUGGGAUCCUCCUAACUACUCCUGGUCGUUGUCAACGGGCUACACAUAGUAGUAGGCACCUCCGGUAUAGUAGGGGUUGUCAUCGACGGUGGCGUCUGGCUCCU